ensembl:processed_transcript
AGAGCUGUGAGCACCAGGAAUGCCUGGGCUCUGUAGUUGCAAAUAUUUUUAAGCUCUUGGUAUUUGUGUUGGUUACUUUGCAUUUGAUCCAAGAGGAAGUUUAACUCAUCACACCCCAGAAGAUGCUGAAAAAUACUGUUUACCAACUGAUAGCCUGCACCAGCUGCAAUGGAAAGCAGCAGCAGCUGCAUGUCUGGCUGUUCUGUUUCUUUGAGGUACUUCAAGAAGGAGCUGAGAGCUGUGGUGACCUCAUAUGUAGCCGUUCUUUCUGCUUCUUCCACUGUUUCUGGGGCCUCAUUUUUGAAAUUCACUUCCAUCAGGUGGAACAACAAUAUGAACAAACCUAAAAGGACACAGCCACAAGAACAGAAUCCCAACUCUAACAACAAAAAUAACAGGAAGCAACAAUCACUUUUCCUUAAUAUCUCUUAACAUCAAUGCACUCAUCUCCCCAAUAAAAAGACAUAGACUGGC